AAUAAGUGUAGUUUUGAACUGUUCAUGUCUAACGUUUGACCGUUUGUCUUAUUUAAAUUUUUUUAGAUUAAUAUUUUUAUUGUUACUAGAUGAUAAAACAUGAAUAAUCCUUUAUGUGUGACUAACUUUUAAAAUUUUUUUCAUAAAUGUUUUAAAUAAGACGGACGGUCAAACGUUGAACAUGGAUUCUCACGGCUGCACUUAUU
rfam:Oryza rufipogon genomic scaffold, chr12